CACGUAGGGUGCGAGCGUUGUCCGGAAUUAUUGGGCGUAAAGAGCUCGUAGGCGGCUUGUCACGUCGGGUGUGAAGGCCCGGGGCUUAACCCCGGGUCUGCAUUCGAUACGGGCUAGCUAGAGUGUGGUAGGGGAGAUCGGAAUUCCUGGUGUAGCGGUGAAAUGCGCAGAUAUCAGGAGGAACACCGGUGGCGAAGGCGGGUCUCUGGGCCGUAACUGACGCUGAGGAGCGAAAGCGUGGGGAGCGAACAGG
rnacentral:rRNA from 1 species